GAAGAUUGGCUCCGAGAACCGGGUCGGUCGGGCCGUGUGUGUCGCCUCGCUCCCCGCGCGGCCGCGUCGCCGUUCGCUCGGCGUCGCGCAGCCGGGCGCCGGAACACUCUUCACGCGAAGCGGCGGACCGGUACGGGGCUGUAGCGUUGGCGUCGGACUCGGCAUCCCGAGAUCGAAAGAGCACAAGUCUG